UACGGGGGGGCGAAGCGUUGUUCGGAAUUACUGGGCGUAAAGGGCUCGAGUAGGCGGCCAACGUAAGUCAGACGUGAAAUCCCUCGGACUUAACCGGGGAACUGCGUCUGAUGACUGGAUGGCUUGAGAUUGGGAGAGGGAUGCGGAAUUCCAGGUGUAGCGGUGAAAUGGCGUAGAUAGUCAGGAGGAACACCUGUGGUGUAGAGCGGCUUUCUGGACCAUGAACUGACGCUGAGACACGAAAGCGUGGGUAGCAAACAGG
rnacentral:rRNA from 1 species